GUGAAGAAAUUCAACCAAGCG
rnacentral:snRNA from 1 species